GAUGAACGCUGGCGGCGUGCCUAAUACAUGCAAGUCGAGCGAACAGACGAGGAGCUUGCUCCUCUGACGUUAGCGGCGGACGGGUGAGUAACACGUGGAUAACCUACCUAUAAGACUGGGAUAACUUCGGGAAACCGGAGCUAAUACCGGACAAUAUAUUGAACCGCAUGGUUCAAUAGUGAAAGACGGUUUUGCUGUCACUUAUAGACGGAUCCGCGCCGCAUUAGCUAGUUGGUAAGGUAACGGCUUACCAAGGCAACGAUGCGUAGCCGACCUGAGAGGGUGAUCGGCCACACUGGAACUGAGACACGGUCCAGACUCCUACGGGAGGCAGCAGUAGGGAAUCUUCCGCAAUGGGCGAAAGCCUGACGGAGCAACGCCGCGUGAGUGAUGAAGGUCUUCGGAUCGUAAAACUCUGUUAUUAGGGAAGAACAAAUGUGUAAGUAACUAUGCACGUCUUGACGGUACCUAAUCAGAAAGCCACGGCUAACUACGUG
rnacentral:rRNA from 1 species